rnacentral:rRNA from 1 species
UACGUAGGGUGCAAGCGUUGUCCGGAAUUAUUGGGCGUAAAGAGCUCGUAGGCGGUUUGUCGCGUCGAAUGUGAAAACCCGGGGCUCAACCCCGGGCCUGCAUUCGAUACGGGCAGACUAGAGUGCGGUAGGGGAGACUGGAAUUCCUGGUGUAGCGGUGAAAUGCGCAGAUAUCAGGAGGAACACCGGUGGCGAAGGCGGGUCUCUGGGCCGUAACUGACGCUGAGGAGCGAAAGCGUGGGGAGCGAACAGG